GAUGAACGCUGGCGGCGUGCCUAAUACAUGCAAGUCGAGCGAACAGAUGAGGAGCUUGCUCCUCUGACGUUAGCGGCGGACGGGUGAGUAACACGUGGAUAACCUACCUAUAAGACUGGGAUGACUUCGGGAAACCGGAGCUAAUACCGGAUAAUAUAUUGAACCGCAUGGUUCAAUAGUGAAAGACGGUUUUGCUGUCACUUAUAGAUGGAUCCGCGCCGCAUUAGCUAGUUGGUAAGGUAACGGCUUACCAAGGCAACGAUGCGUAGCCGACCUGAGAGGGUGAUCGGCCACACGGGAACUCAGCCACGUUCCAGACCCCUGCGGGAGGCAGCAGUAGGGAAUCUUCCGCAAUGGGCGAAAGCCUGACGGAGCAACGCCGCGUGAGUGAUGAAGGUCUUCGGAUCGUAAAACUCUGUUAUUAGGGAAGACCAAAUGUGUAAGUAACUAUGCACGUCUUGACGCUAACUAAUCAGACAGCCACGGCUAACUACGUG
rnacentral:rRNA from 1 species